rnacentral:tRNA from 1 species
GUGGCGUUAGCUCAGUCGGUAGAGCGCGAGACCUCCGUCCUUGCCCAAUUUGCCCGAGAACUCGGGCCGAAGAGAGACGGUUACCCCGAAGUCGCGGGUUCGAGCCCCGUACGCCACG